GAUGAAGCAAAUACGGAACUUCCUCUCGAAAGCCAAAACCAACAAUGAUUGAGAUGGGCGAUUGCGGUCCACAGAUCCAUUUGGCUGAUAGCAGGCAGAUCAGUCUGGAGACAUGACUGGACAAGAAGAACUAAUUGAUACACAAGGUUGGAAACAUUUGCAGUGAAAACUCUUCUCAGGGGAGAUUGGAAAUGAUUCUCCUCCUCAUGCCACCUACUUGGGAAAGGUGAGAGAGUUACUGUGUACUGCCUAGCUGCCAAAUAAGGGCUAAAUUACAACACAGGUCCACCCCCCGUGCAUGGCUACGCUCAUUCCAAAGUAUUUCUCUCUUCCCCUGGAAGAACAUUUCUUCUGCCUCUCAAGAAAAAGCCUCACUUCAUCCACAAAGUGUUGCUGACCUUUUGACAGUUAGCAAAGAGAUGAGUCUUGGAUGAUUGACUUCCUGCGCUACAUCAGGGACAAAGCAAAUAAACAGUCCCUCGCUUGGGAGAGACAGUUCACAUAGCACCCAAAGCCCAAGCAAUGCACUCAUCCUGGUUACCUGGAGUCAUUUGCAGCCCACAGUCUGCCUAGGUUACAACAGAAUGAAUAGUUCUUCAUUCCUUUGAUUUUUAGAGAGCUUUGGCUCAAAUUUCUUGCUGUGAGCACAGCAUUGUACGUAUCUUGGUGAAAGCUGGGCUUACAAAGUACUCCUUCUGCUGUGUGAGACACUUCAUUAACUGCUGGGGAAAGAUGGGAAUGGUACAGUAGAGAUGAAGGGCAGGUCUGCGUUUCAGUGAUGGAAUUGCAAUUAGCAGCUUCAAUUGUCUGUAGGAAGAAAACGUGGCAAGUUGGAAUGUUUUCAGAGCUUGCUAUUAGGAGGAAAAAAGCAAAGGAGAGAGAGGGAAAAAAAAGGAAGAAAAGGAACAAGUCCAGGUCACAAAUAUAAUAGAAGAGAACAUGAAGUCAGCUUUUCCUGUCUUGUUGUUAUACAAGGCUUUUCUGUGUCUGCCAGAAAGCUGCUUCACAGCAGAAGUAACCCAUAUUACUUCUUUAUUUUUUAAACAAAAAGAAAGUCACCAAUUAAAAUGACUUGAGUUUAUUUCAGCACUUUGUGCUCUGGGAGGCUCAUUGAUUGGAAGGGAAGGCACAAGGUAGUCGGCUCUGCUGUGAAACAAUACAGUCCUUUCAAGUACGUUCUACUUGCCCCGCUUUUGUCAGAAAAUAUUUCAAAUCACAGAUACGAAAUGUAUAGCAGAGACUCAAGAGAUCACCUAAUCCAUCCCUCCAGCCCAGCGGCUGUUCCAUGGACAUGUUUUUCUUUGUAGUUCAUGAAACCCUUCUGCAGGAGUCAUCACACUUUCCUGAACUACCUCACUCCUAAUUCUCCUGGUAUCUAAUUUAAAUCUCCUUUGUUGUAGUUUAAGAGUUUAUGCUCACUGCUUUUGCUCUGUCCCUAAUUGACACAAGACAAUGUCAUAUCAUGGAAUCAGGAAGAUGUUGGGUGAACAGCCUCCUGUUCAAAGCAGGGCUAACUCCGAUGUCAAGGCAGGGGGCUUUUCUCACUCAGUGACAACUGUUAACUCAUUUGAAUAUUACUACCUGGUUUUCUCUCCUUUUCUUUAAACACUUUGGCAUCAAUUCUUUGAAUCUUUUUCAUACAUCACAUUUCCUAGACCAUGUUUAUUAGUCAUUGUUGUGUUGUUAGUUGUAGCUGUAUAUCUGAGGGAUUCUCUCAUACAUACAUGUGCACCCAGACACAAACACGUGCAAACACAGCUAAUUUUAAUGAUUAGAGCAAAAGAAGCAGAAGCCUUUCCUUGGCAAAAUGACUGGGUAAAAUCCUUAAUUCUGCAUACUGGGAGUAACAAACUGAGUUGUGCAAUGUGAAGUGCAAUGAAAGAUUAGAUGCAAUAGAUUAUCCGGGCACUGGAAACAUAUAUGUCAUGUAGUAUGACGGAUGAAACAUGGUUAUUGGUAUAACAACAGAGCAUAUGCUUGGCUUUCACCAUUUCAGCAGUACUUGCUGAAAGGUCUCCCAAAUCUCAUUUCAAACUGUAUUUACCUACUAGCCUGGCUGGCAUUGUUGUGACUUUGACCUUCAGCAUGAUUUUAACCGGAUAUCCCAGGCAGCCUUUCAGCAUCCCUAUGUUCACCGCUAAUAAGAUUUUGAAGAAAUGGACUAUGAAGAGGAGCUGGUGCUGCUUGCAGGAUCACCAACCAGGUUGCGCAUUGGAGCCUGGCUGUGAGCAGCAGGGAUCACUUCUAUUUGUUGACUGGCGUAGCUGGGCAGAUAUCUUGAUGGAUAGGAAGACUGGUCCAUAGUAAUGUGUUUGAACAUAGCUCUGAAAACUCAUAAAUAAUCAAGGAAACCAAACUGCACUGCUAGUUUAUUUAUCUGGGAGCCUACUUCUCUGCAAAAGCUUCCUUGCCCUAACUUGGCCCAGGAGCCAUGCUACGAUGAAACUACUUCUAAGAGAUAAUGUUAUUUUAAUAUUUGCCUACUUGUAGAGUGUUAGAUGUUGUGGAGACACAGGGUAGGGAAUUUAGUGAUCACAAACUGAGCUUAAAUAAAGGAUAAUAGAAUGAUACAAGGGAACUUAGUGCUACGAGGAUAUAAAUCUUGCAAAGCAAUGAAAACUACUUAAUGCUUGCAUGGUUUUAGGGAGCUGCUAUUGCACAGGAGUGUUGUAAAAAGGACUCAAGAAAAAUGGUUAGGCAACUUUCAUAAAUUAAACCAAUUCCGGAUGCUGUUCUUUAAGGAACAUAUUUGUCACUUGGAUUUUAAACAAUCUCAGACACAACUCCUUGUACAGUUACUAUGCCAAUAAUAUGUGGGUUGGUGUUGUCAUGCUUUUAAUGGGUAGAUAUUUUCACUUUUAUCUUACUUGUAAUGUUGUUAUUAGAAAGCUUUGACCAGAAUGGUUAUAUUCUACCUGUAGCAUGUCCUGGGUGUCUGGGUACUUAUAGGACAUCCUUGAAAAGGGAAUUAAGAAAAGAAAGUUUAUUUACCAUUGGCUCAGAUCACUGCAGCGGGUUUCACAUGCUGCCACUGGAAUACUGUUAGACACCUGCAAACCAAAAAAAAAAAAAAAUCACUAGUUGAAAAAUCACUAGUGUAGAAUGAAUAAGCAGGAAAAAAGUUCAACUUCUUGUUUACAUUUUUCCCAGCAGAUGUUCAGUUGUUGAGACACCAAAGCCACCGGAUGCUGGAAGAGUCAUUUAUUCUGUAUCGUUGCCCCUGGGGGUGCCACCAAGCUGGGCUGGAGGCGGCAGCAGCUGCUAUAUCUUGGUGGGGUACUCAGAGUAAUGACUGUCAUUUGCUGGACGGGUGGAAGUCACGGUGGUCUUCUGCUCAGUCACCACCUGGUCCCUGUCAUAUGCCACAGAGAUUGAUAUAAAUCAAACUCUGUCUGCCGCGGGGGCCUUGAGAAAACAAAUUGAUGUUUUAAAGCACAAGAAAGGAAAUGUCAGCGAUGCAGUCCUAACAGUCUACCAGUGCGCUGGGGGGUUAUCAUGCUACUUGGGUUGAAUACUGAAGGAAGUCAUCCACUAGUAGGGGUAGGUCUGGAAGCAUAACUAGAAGAAUAAAGUCUAAAUCAAAGGCCAGUGCAAGACAACAACACAUCUUCCCUUAUUGUACAUAGGGGUGGUGAGAUCUGGCAUGAAAUAACAGCUAGGGUAAGGGAUGGACUCUGCCUAUGAAGAUAUGCAGACCAGACGCCGCCUAAGAAAAUAACUUGUAGGAAACAACCAGGGCUUCCAGGAGACAGGAGACCUUUAUGCUCAGAGACCUCAAUCACAUAUCUCAUUUUGAUUUGGUAAACUUUGACAAGCAGGAGGAUCCACCGAUAUCAUCAGCCUUUUUGCUGAUGGCCUAGAUUUGCUUCUUUUCUUGUUUAUUACUAAACUAGCCUCAAAAUGUGUCACCAUUGUUAAGGUUAAUCUCUUGGAACUGGUCUCAGUGGUGGGAGAGCAGAAAACCUGCAGAAUAGUGGAUGUUUACACCUCUUGGCAAAGUCAGGGCAGAUAUGGGGUUUUGUGUCAAGUAUUAAGCAGGACAUCCAGAAGUUUUUCUUCAAAUUGAAAAUAAAACUGAUGAAGCAUACUCUAUGGAGUGCAUUUUCCAGGACUCCCAUUUUCUACUGUGUGAUAUCUGCUACCUGUCAACAAGAUGCAAAAAAUACCUUAUCCCAUCCCUGGAAGAAGAUUAGCCAGAGUAGUUAGUGACUGUUAUGAAUUUCUUUCUACAAAUGAAAUUUUCUUUCAACUGAAUUCUCCCAAUGAAAGGGACAGGCACAGAUGAUUCUAGUGGGAUGUGUCUUGUGGGUGUUGGAACUAGAUGAUCUUUAAGGUCCCUUCCAAACCAAACUAUUCUAUGAUUCUAUGAUUCAGCUGCAACCAGAUCUACAUUCAUUUUUCCCCUCUCUGCAAAACAAAACAAAAGAAGAAAGCAGGAAAAAUAAGUAAUUUCUAUCUUGAUCAGUCUGGAUUAAUAAGUUCCCUAGUAUAAAUCACUUGCAGAGCAUUAAUUUUUAUGCCAGUCAAGGAAAAUUAAGUGGCCUAAUCACAUUACAUGUUCACCGUUACAGGAACUGUGGAGCUUUUCCUGCAUUUGGUUGGAGGCUAUUCCAUUUGGCUGGACUCUUUUGAUACUGCUUUGCCUGUGCAUGCAAUUAAAGGACUUUUUUUUAUUAACCAGUUUUUACAUUACACUCAGUGGCCCCGUCACACAACUAAAUGACCCGUUUAACAAGCAUGAUAAAAUCCUCAUUAGGGCCUAUUAUAGGAUUUAGUGGAAUCUUCCUGCCUCACUACUGCACAAGCCUUAUCUAAUUAACUCCGCCACUUAAUUCUCUCCCUCCCUUUUCUUGCUGUUUAUUGGGCUUUAUUGGAAAACAGAUCCAAAGAACACAAUUAAUGUAAUUUAUCCUGGAAAAUCCCCAAACAUUAGCACGCUGCAAAUGGAAAUGGAAAAGGCCUCACAGAGUUCAAGCAUAGUAGGCAAUUACUCCAGAAGUACAGCACUGAGUAUUAUCGUGUAACUUCUUACUACACUUUCCCAAGAGGAGCAAGGAGGUAAUUCUAGCCAAGAACGUUUAAAACAAUAAUUAAAGGUCAUAUUUGUGUUUGAGCAGCUUUCAUAUUUAAUUGAGGAAAAGUGCGUGCCUUCAAGAAUGAGAUGUUUUUUCUAGGAUGUGCAGUACAGAAAGGAAUGGAAUGUUGUGUUCAUUGGUAUAAAUGUAGAGCAGCUUCCAGUUAUAAAGUCUUGUGCAGUAUUUUGCAGCCAGAUUUGCACCAGAAGACAGAAUUCAGCCACAAGAGGUAGCUAUUUUUUUUUUCAUGGCAGCAAUGUGUAGAACAUUUAUGAAACACAAGAUGUGCCACAAUACCACUGUUGACCAAUAAGCAUGGGAUAGACACUUGGGAAGACAUUACCAUGCUAUCCUGCUUUUUUCACGCUCUGAAACCUUUAAUUUGCAAUGCUGUUAGUCUUUUUCAUAAGGUGUGGUUAACUCCUACCAGAUCCCAAGACAUCACAGGCUAAUUACACUGCACCUGAGAUGGCCAACUAGUCCCAGGGGCGCCCUGAGGAGUUGGAGGCUGACCUUGGUAUGCAGAAAUUAAAAUCUAAUUGGUUGUUGGGACUCUUAGUUAGAUUCCAGUAAGGUGAGAUUGCUGUCGGAAUGAAAAAGUUCUGACACUUCUGUGUUACCUUUACCUAGUAGUUAAGAUAGGUGUAGAGGGUGACUAAGUUUCUAUAAGAAAUCAGAGUAAUCUCCACCCAGUAUGGGAUCAUGGUACAAGAUGCAUGUGGGUGUGCUCCAGAGGUGGGUGGUGAUGCAGAGAGGUACAGGUCUUGUCUAGCUCUUCAUUUUAGCAGAUUUAUGUGAGCGUUUGUGUUUAUAUGCACCUAAGAAGGACAAAGAAGCUAAAUUAACCCCUUGGAGAUGGACAAUAGGAAGAAAAAGAUAAGACACAGGCCCAGAAUACAGUGAGAGGAAAGCAGAGGAUGAGUGAGUAUUUUUCAUUCAAAAAUGUCCAACAAGAGCCUAAAGACAGGCACAAAGGGUUGUCCAGUUCAUCUCUUACUCAGCAGAAGCUGAUUUCACGCAUACUUGUAAAUGAACCAUGCGUGGACCUCGACUUCCUCCUCUGGGAAGAAAUUAACCAAAUGUCUUGGCUAAACUGGGCAGUAGCCAAGUGUGACAAACAAAUAAUUGCACAGGAUGCACGAAGCACAGGAUGAAGCAAGGCUCAGUCCACAUCUCCUGUUUUUCUCUGAACUGACAGAGGAGGGUUUUUUAACCUUGCAUUGAUUUGUCCUCUUUUGAAUUUGUCAGAUCAGGGCUAUUGCCCUUUGGGCAAUGAGCUUCACACCACACUGAGCGGUAAGAUGGAAUUUGCAUUAUACAGGGCAUUGGCAUGCCAUUCCUUUGGGGUUCCUAGUAUUUGAUGCUAUAAAUCUUUCUUGUUAACUUGCACCUGGGUUUUUGGAAGCUUGAUUCUCAGGGAAGUUCAAACUUGAUUUCAUUGACUUUGGCAAGCUUUUGAAAAAUUUGCCAUAGUCCGCUGUUGCUGUUCCUUCAGAAGGCCCCAGCUCUUGUCCACCUUCUUUAGUACAGCUGUCUCUGUGGGCAAGAAAUCGGAAGGAUGCAGCCUAGGCACAAUUAGACAGGCACUGAAACUCUAGAAGGAAGGACCGGAAGAAAAGCUGAGUUAU